AUUUGAUACAUUUAUUAGAUGUUCAGGUUUACAAAAAGGCCCUAGUGUUGUUUUGACAAACUUAUAUUCAUUAUGUUACUCGGAUUGACAGUUUUUAUCUUGAUGUUAUUGGUAUCUAGCCAGAUGACAUCAGCAUGUAAUUGUCUCGGAAAACAAACUGCAGGGGACAUAGAGCUUUCGGUAUCUACAACCUCAUCUGUCUAUGGUGAAAAGCCGUGUUUAUGCUGUUACUUUGUAUCAACAAGAACUAACAGUUCCAUUGUCUUUUAUAAAAAUGAUUUUCUGAUCUGUGCAGUGAAAGAUUCUGGACAAUUUCCAUUGAGGCUUGGCAACACCACGUGUAGAAAACAGAGUGGUAGUUUGGCCGUUCUUGAAAUAGACCCGGUAGUGUUUAACAUCGACGGUAAAUGGAAGUGUGGUAAUGACAGUUUUUCAAGUAAAGAAGUACUGGUUAAUGUGCAAGAUUCACCUGCUAUUAAAGCCGAAUAUUCCACAAAUGAAGCUGAAUACCAUAAAGAGCAUUCACUCGGUACCAAGAC